AAGCAUUUUGAUAAACUUUUCUCCUGCUCUAAAGUUUGCCUUGGUCUUUUCUUCUACCUUAUGCCCCUCAGUUGAAUUCUUUCUUCUGAGGCGGCAGGAAUUGACUUUGCUGAUAUAUUUCGGUGCGCUGUGACUCGGAUAACUUUCACCGCUAACAUACAUUGGCACUGCUUGACUGGGAUCCAUGCCCUAAUGGUGAAGCCAGCUGGACUUCCUGGGUCGAGUGGGGACUUGGAGAACUUUUCUGUCUUACAAGAGGAUUGUAAAAUGCAACUAUCAGCACUCUGUCAAAAUGCACCAACCAGCACUCUGGAGCUAGCAAGAGGAUUGUAAAAUGCACCAAUCAGAGAAAAUUGAAACAGGUGUUGUGCUCUCAAACUAAGGAUAAUUUCCGACUUGUUACCUGGUUACCAACAAAGAAAAAAGAGAAGCAUCUUAACACCUGAUUAAUCACUCCAGACUCUGCCUGCUUGGGCUCUGUCACUCUUUAAAUGUGUUACUUUGGACGAGUUACUUAAAGAGUUGUCUGUAAAAUCCAGGACUCAUGGGUCCAAGAAUCAAGUGGUAGAACUGGAGUGACAAUGUUCACUAGCAUCCAUAGUGACCAACCAGCAAGAUUUUGCUUCCUGUUUCUGUGAUUUUAUGCUCUGCUGGCCUAGAGGUCUUAGUUCCUGCGGGAGGAAUGCUUCCACCGGGAGAGGGAUCACCAGAAUUCAUCAGGACAAGAUAUCCUCAGUAUAUAAAGACAUGAUUCAAUACAUUGAGAUACACGACACAAGGGACUUCACACAAAUUUCUGCAUUUCACAAGAUUUUUUCUUCUCUACUAUCCAUAUUCUUCCAGUGUUGUGGAACAUGUUCAUAUUACUAUAGAACAUCUUUCUCUGCUCCUUCUUGCCACCAUGCCAGGAACUCUGUCAUGAAGCAUGAAGCUAGAGGUUUUUCUUAAUGAAAAAAAAGUAAGAUUCAGAGAACUUCCAAUGUAUUUUCCAAGUCUAAGUCUAAUCUAACUCCAAAGCUUAUAAGCAGCUCCUAGAGGAUGUCUCUCCUAAUGUAAAGUUAAAAAUGACUGAUGGGGUAAAAUGUAUUCAUCUUCAGAAAAGGACUUUUAGCAAUAAAAAUAUGUAGCCUGAAGAUACAGAUCUUGAAUAAACGAGGAAAAAACUUUAAUACUGCCUAUUGUUAUUCUGCAUUUUAAUUAUAACAUUAUUUAGAUAUGUAAAUAUAACAGUAUUCUGU
rnacentral:lncRNA from 10 species